CCCUUAGAUGUCCUGGGCCGCACGCGCGUUACACUGACAUGUUCAACAAGCCUCCUAGUUCGACAGGAUUUGGGAAAUCUUUGAACGCAUGUCGUGAUAGGGAUAGAUCAUUGCAAUUAUUGAUCUUGAACGAGGAAUUCCUAGUAAACGCGAGUCAUCAGCUCGCAUUGAUUACGUCCCUGCCCUUUGUACACACCGCCCGUCGCACCUACCGAUUGAAUGUUUCGGUGAAGAUUCCGGAUAGGACUUUUUUGAUUUAUUUCAAUUUUGUCUUAAAAGCUAUCUAAACCUCAACAUUUAGAGGAAGGUGAAGUCGUAACA
rnacentral:rRNA from 1 species